GACACCUUGCUGUAGAAAUGGAAGAGGCAUAAAGGCUUACAGAGAACAAUUAUAUAACAAGAUCAAAUUAUUGAAAGGGGUCAUCGGGAAGAGCGGGCAGUAGUAGGAGGGCUGUGCGUCCUGUCUCGGGAAGAGUCUCCAAGCCGGCUGGGACAGCUCUUCCUCUUUGAAAUGUUUUUGUUUAGGAUUUGCCGACCCACGUGAGAACCUUAGCUUGACGAGGGCGAGGACCAUGCCUUGCUCACUCCUGGAUCCCUGGUUCCUGCAACAGUGCCUGACACAUGGCAGAAGGCCCAUGGGUACAAGAACUGACGAAUGAAUGAGCACAUGACCCUGGGGUGUGCGAGGAACUGUGGGAAGAACGCCCUGUCUGGGAAGAAGUGUGUGUCCUUGAGGAGUGGGGAACUCUCCAACAGACCAGCAGAUGGGGCACCUAAGUAGGCCUGCAUGGGAUUCAAACCACGGGGCAGGUGAACCUAGCUGAACAGAGUAUGGGCACCACUGACAACUGCCAAGGACGACUCUGUAUAGAGUGCAACAGGGGACUUGAAUCUGAAAUUAAACUAAAGCACAAACUAAACAAAAUUGUUCUGCACUGUGCUUGGUCAGCCAACAGCUAUGCUUAAAAAAGAAAAAAAGAUCUGUUCAGUUCUUGUUAAGAUCACAGUAAAAUGUUAAUGGGAUCACAAGACUUUUAUGAAUAUCUUCAACGAUCACCUUCACCUUUAAGCAGAUAGGUUCAUCGCCUCAUAUUGAACCAGUUAUCUACUAAAAACUAUCUUGCUGUUGUCGUUCACCCAUAAACUGUUGUUCUGUAGAUCUUUUCUGUCUCAUACUCGCACCAUUGAUUAUUGGACCUAAAUGCAGUGCCUCACAUUCAUGGUACAUCCUAUCUUAUUGAUUUUAGACUAUCUUUCACCUUAUGGAAUUCAUUUUAAACCUUGAUCCUAUCAUCAAUCACAGUAUUCCUCUUAGCUGGGUGUAAUUCAUAUGUGUGAUCUGCAAUCCCCCAAGGUCUGGGAUGCCUGGAGGUAAUUUCGAGAGCUCUAAGGGGCGGGGGGUGUCUACCAGGGGACACACCACCAGCCAAGUAUAAGAAAGAAAGAUGUAUUCACAGACCUGUACCCCUGGGGAUAAAAAUAUAUGUUUAUGAAAAAUAAAAAAUUUAAAAAAAAAAAAAAGAAAGAAAGAUGUGCGGCCCUAUGACUGCAGAUACGGGGCACAAAACGGUGUGUGGGGGGGGGGGGGCGAGUGUGGGCCUGGGAGGGAAUAACUGCUAGACCUCCCUCCAGGUUAGAGCAAACCGAGUCAGACUCUCCAGUGGACGCAACCCACAAAGGGUUUCUUCUAGGAAGAAGCAUUUUAGAAGUAAAAGUUGGUG